rnacentral:misc_RNA from 1 species
ACCCAUGUGAACAUACCUAUCGUUGCCUCGGCAGGUUGUGCUGUCCGGUGACUGCUACCCUGUAGGAGGAGCUACCCUGUAGCUACCCUGUAGUUGGUAGGAGCUACCCUGCAGCACGCCAAAGGCCUGCCGAAGGACCCCCAAACUCUGAAUCUACUGUAUCUCUGAGUAUAACACAAAAAUAAGUUAAAACUUUCAACAACGGAUCUCUUGGUUCUGGCAUCGAUGAAGAACGCAGCGAAAUGCGAUAAGUAAUGUGAAUUGCAGAAUUCAGUGAAUCAUCGAAUCUUUGAACGCACAUUGCGCCCAAUAGUAUUCUGUUGGGCAUGCCUGUUCGAGCGUCAUUUCGACCAUUAAGCACCAUUUGCUUAGCGUUGGGAAUUUACGUUACUGUAAUUCCUCAAAUCCAGUGGCGGAGCUGGGUCAUGCUCUAAGCGUAGUAAUUAUUUUCUCGCUUCUGAAGCUGGCCUGUAUCCUGCCGUAAAACCCCCAAAUUAUAACUGGUUGACCUCGGAUCAGGUAGGAAUACCCGCUGAACUUAAGCAUAUCAAUAAGCGGAGGAAAAGAAACCAACAGGGAUUGCCCUAGUAACGGCGAGUGAAGCGGCAACAGCUCAAAUUUGAAAUCUGGCCUUCGGGUCCGAAUUGUAAUUUGUAGAGGAUGCUUUUGGCGCGGUGCCUUCCGAGUUCCCUGGAACGGGACGCCUUAGAGGGUGAGAGCCCCGUACGGUUGGACACCAAGCCUCUGUAAAGCUCCUUCGACGAGUCGAGUAGUUUGGGAAUGCUGCUCUAAAUGGGAGGUAAAUUUCUUCUAAAGCUAAAUACCGGCCAGAGACCGAUAGCGCACAAGUAGAGUGAUCGAAAGAUGAAAAGCACUUUGAAAAGAGGGUUAAAUAGCACGUGAAAUUGUUGAAAGGGAAGCGUUU